rnacentral:lncRNA from 1 species
CCGUUUUCACUAAGUGGAAUCAAACCGCUACCACAUCAUCCUAGUUGGAUACCGGCCCACUAUAUCCGAGGUGUUUAUUACCCGAUAUUCCAUUAACCUUUCAAAUAAAAUCAUUUUUAUGCAACUUUUCGAAAUUAUGCUUAUGACCCACACAUAACAUCACAAAUGUCAAUCAAGUGUCACAAAUCACACAAAUACCACAAUUUACCACAUAUUUAUGAUUUGAGCAAAAAUCCCAAUUUCACACACAACCUGUAACACCCUCCAUGUCGUUUAUAUAAUUAAGAAUAGUUUUUAGAAAAAUGGACUUUAUUAAAACCUUCGGAUCCUACUGAUCCUUUAGAAAAUAAGUUUGGAAAUCAUCAAAGCAUUUUUCUUUCUUCAAAACAUAACCCACAUUUGAAAGAUAUAAUUUUCAUAAAGAGUGCUACUUCAACAUAGACGGGGUUUUAAAGCAAUACUUGUAAUACAGCGGAACACAAAAUAACUUUAUUUUACAUACACCCCGGUUUAAUAGACUAGAUUCCUAAAUAGAGUACAUUAUAAUUACAACUAUAAACUUCUCAAGUUAAAGCACUUAAAAAGAAAGUGACUAAUAGAAUCUUUGAAAAUAGUCGGUUGAUAUAAAAGCUCGUGAUUCCUCGAACUCCGCUCCACCAGUUUCCAUAACCGCUUCGAGCACCUCAACCUUGACAUGGGCGAAGAGUUUUCCCCUGCUUCACGUAUACUCACAAGGUGUACUCACACAAACAAAAUAUUGCAUUCACAUGGGGAUACAACGACCAAUUAGCUGUAGUACAUAUAGACAUCAAGUCCCUAUAGUCUGUAUUAACAUAUAUAACACAAAUGCAAUAUGACGGGAUACCUAUCAGAUUCAUAACAUGGUUAUCGGUAAUAGACGUCGAUAUUCUGAGCCCGUUUAUUUAUGGAAGCUAUCCACUCUAUAGUCUAUAGUACCGUAGUUGGAAUACCGGCCCCUCCGUAUUUCCGUGUCUACUCGACCGAUAGCCAUUUAAGAUUCUGACUUCCUAUACUGACCAUGCAAUAUCAUAAAUGACAAAUCAUACAAACAAUUCAAAACGUAUAAACAAACAUACUCAUACUUAUGUCAAUACAAUUACUAUAAUGUGACGGUAUCCCUAUCAGAUUCAUAACAUGGUUAUCGGUAAUAGACGUCGAUAUUCUGAGCCUGUUUUGAGGGGAGCUACCCACUCUAGUCUAUAGUACCGUAGUUGGAAUACUGGCCCCUCGUAUUCCCGUGUUUACUCGACCGAUAACCAUAUUAAGAUUCUGACGUUCCUAUACUUGCUCAUGCAAUACCAUAAAUGACAAAUCAUUCAACUCCAAUAAUAUAACCAUGUUAGAUCGAACUUGCACUUAGCAUAAAACACGUAACCAUAUAACACAUAACCAAAUAGCUAACAAACAUAUUCAAAACAUUUUCUCCCUUAGAGUUGAUUCUUCAAAUAACUCACAUAAUCAAUUCAAAUUGCAUAAAUAAACAUUCUUAUAACUCACAUAUAUUAUGCAACGUACACGUACCAUAUACAAGAGGUAUCACAUACAAGAGAAGGGGAUUAUCAUAUUAUUUCAUAUAACCACUUUCAUAGUUAUAACAUACCAAAGUGAUUAUCUUAAAUGCAUCAUUCAUGCGUUUCCUAAGCUAUACAUUUAUGUGAACAUAUAAGCAUACGAUAAUCAUAAUAGCACAUACGCACAUAAUAUAUGAAAUCCGAAUCCACAUAUUCUAUUCCAAAGAACUACAAGGAAAUCUGGCAGAUUCGGUACUUCAACUUUGGAAAUUCAUAUCUCUUAAACCGUACAUACAAACCUUAUGAAAUUAUCACACAACGUUCCCAUAUUAGAGAAUUAUAUCAUAUCAAAACAGUGCAGUAAAAUACCUAUCCAUGAGAGAGGAAUAAUUAAUUUAGUACAGCAACAGCAGCAGAAUUUUAGAACAGAGUAUUCAACUUUGAAAAUAUCAAAUAGAUCAUUCUUUCAACGAAACACCAUGAAAUUUCACGAAGAAUCAGAUUUAUAAGUCUAUAAUCAUAUCCAGUUGGAAUCGCAUGAAUCAGAACAAGGUAAAAUCUAAUUUAACACAUAAUUCAUAGAUGACUCAGAAAUCGUGCAGUUUCAGAAAACCGUUCAUAACUUGAUCAAUAAAAUUCCGAUUUAUGCAUACCAUAUAUCAAAACGAAGCUAACAGAAACAUGUACACGCACAAUUAAUUUCAUAAUUUUCGUAAAAUAAAUCAUCGAUGAAACAUGCACUGAAAUCUGUAGGUUACGAAUCUGGAAAUCGAAUUGGGGUUCAUUGAAAUCUAUAUUUCAUGACCUAGAUCCCUAAAUCCGAUUCCUAAGCAUAUUAAUCAAUUAAAACACAUAAACAUCAUCUUAUUAUUAUCAUUAAUUCAGUAAAGACCAAAAGUCCUUACCUCUUUGAAGAAAAAUCGAAGACAAAGGGAAAGAGUAAACCGAAGGAUUCUUGGAACCUUUGGCUUGAAGACUUUUGGGGCUGAACUUGGAGGCUAUCGAGUGCCCGAUCUUCUUGCUAGUGUGGGGGAUUUUAUAGGGAAAUUAAUCCCAUUAAUUAGAUAUGAAACUUCCCGGAGAAGAAGGGAAAUUUGAUGAGUUCUCAUUGAAUCUGCCUGGGUGAGGCUGCCGAUGGAUGAGAGGAAGAAGAGUGAAGACCCAAAUUCCCCCGUUCCUUCUCGGAACUCCCGUCGGGAAAAUAGAGAAGGAAAGAGGAGGAAUCUUCCUUGGCUUAUACUAGGAAAUUAGGAGGAAGUUUCCCAAGGGCUAUUGUGCAAUAUUUAAAACCAUGGGGGUCCUAAUAGCAAUUCAGAAAAUAUGUUGUACACUAGACUACAUACUCUAAACAUGCAUAUACGGCACAUACAUGGCAAUCAUACACAAAUCAUAAUACAUGUAUCUAUAACAAUUAGAGAUUAAUACAUAGAUUAAUUACUACAUCUUAACUCAUGUAGCAUAUAUAUAUAUACACAAUAUUCAUAUAUGCAUCCACAUUCAUUAAACCAUAAAUCGUAAAACAAUUAAAGAUACAUUGCAUAGAUUAAUUAUUCAUUUUAAACACAUGAUGCAUUUAAUCACAUAAAUAGAAUUACUUAAUCAUUCAAUCAAAUCGAGUUGAUCGCACAUUGCUCAUAUAUAGACAUAACCUAAAAUAGCACAGUACAUAUAAACCACGUAAUCAUUUAGGGUACGCAAAAGUUACUAAUUAAUUCAUGAAUUGGAAAUUAUCGAUUUACUCAAUAUAAUUUCAUAUAAUAUGCUUAUGAAAAUGCGGGGCGUUACAAUCUUCCCCCCUUAAAAUAAAUUUUGUCCUCAAAAUUUGAAAAAUUCUCCAUAAAAGAUGAUGAUACCGAGUUAUGACAAAAAUCCUUUUCUACCCAUGAUUGGGUAAAUUUCAUUUUGAUCGAGGUUACCAAAUAAUUUGAAAAAUAGUUCCUCAACUCUUGGCAAGAGUCAUUUCAUGACUAAAAUCUGAAACAUGCAUUUCGUAAAAGAUUCUUUAAAAGAAAUUUUGAAAAGAGCCUUAGCAUGAGUAUCAUUACUCGAGGAAAAUCGAAAUCGAGUCUCAGUGAGACAUCCAAAUUUUCUGGAAUAAAAUUCAAUUUAGAAAUACCCUUUAACAGUUAAAAUUCUCUUGCCCUCACAAAAACAUUUUGCCGCAUGGUACCCCUGGAUGCAUAUUAAUCAUGCUUAGUCCUAAGUCCUAAUAUGCACAUAAGAUUCACAUAAACAAUUUGUAAUGUAUGGCAUCACCAAUCAAUAAAAUGCAUCACAUAGUUUAACUCAGAUAGGUUUCAUCAUAUCAUAUAUCGUUGAUUCAUUAACCUUUAAUAACGAGAAUUAGGACAUGCUACAAUCUCUUCAAGUCACAUAAAUAGAUAAUCACCUACACAUAAAUUGCACAUAAAACCAAAGCUAGAACAUAAUUUCAAAACUUAAGGAUAUGAAUUGCAUACCUCCAAUUUCUGCUGAGUACAAUUUGACAAUGGGUUUGAGUCAGUGAUUGGAAAACUUCCUUUUCUCGAUCUUGAUUCCCGUAGAAUUUCUGUAACUGUGGGCCUAGUUGAAGUGAAGAGAUUUGAAUUCCUACUGAUAUCGUAGAAUUCCUUAUCCAAGUUAGGUACUAUAUGAACAAGCCUGAGAAAACCCCUGUAUAGCUUCUUCGAUUUCGCGAUAAAGAUAAAUAUGACCAACAGUGGUUCGAAUGUAUAUAAAAGAACUUUUUUUUUUUUUUUUUUUUAUACUUCUUACUAGCUUUUAUUCUUUAAAACUCAAAGUUUCGUAAGAAAUCAAUUUUUUUCAAUCCAUUCGAGCAUUUCAAAUAACUCGAAGACGGUUUUACAAGUAUCCUCUUAUAAAAAUAAUCUUGACCAUGUAGAGGCAUCACAAUAGUCAAUCAAGUAAAAUGAAAUGAAAGCUGAAAUAUGUCAGUAGUUUCAAAGACUUUAUUAAAAUCCAAAUUUGGUACUCAAGUUCCGAAAUCGAAACCUUUGAGCCCUUAAACUUCAUAAUUAAACCAUUCUCCCCAUAUUUUAUACUCUUAAAAGAGUCCUCAGUCAUUCAAUAACAAGUUCAUAGAUUUACAAUUACCACACCAUUCAAACAUACAAUAGCAUCAAGUAAAUACUCAAAUCAUAACCUUUCGUUCAAUGAUACAUAACAUAGCAUGAGACAAUUCAGGAAAUUCGAGACAUUGAACACAUAAAAAUCCACAUAGUUAAUUCCUAAAGUCCCGUACUUCAAAUUAGAGAUAAUUAAGUAACGACAUAAUUUAAUCACGUAGUUCGAACUCAUAUAAUCAAAGAUUAGCACAUACUUUUACGAUCACAUAAAAAUCCACAUAAUCCGAUUCAAGAGAUAGGAUAGUUAAUUUCUAAAGCCUCAUAAUCCGAUUCAAUAUAAUUUAAGCAUGUAGUUCGAACUCAUAAAAUCAAAGAUUACCACACUCUACUCUUAUGAUCACAUAAAAAUUCACAUAACUCGAUUCAAGAGAUAGGAUAGUAAAUUCCUAAAGUCGUAUGCCUCGAAUCAAGGAUAAUCAAGUAACAACACAAUUAAUUCACUCGAGUUCAUAAAAUCAAAGAUUAACACAAUCUACUCUUAUGGUCACAUAAAUAGAUUUGAGCAUAUUAACCAGGAAUUAAUUCUCAUCAAAUAAACAUACAAGCGAGAAGCUAUAAAAUACUCAAGUUUUGACAUAUAUCAAGCAUACAAGCCUCAUGUUAAAUAUCACCCAAAGCAUAAACAUGAAUUCUAUAAUUCAAUUUAAAAGAAAGAGCAUAUAAUACUCUACCCAAUCCACAUAAUUCGGACUCAAGCGAUCAGCCAAUUAAUUUCUAAAAUCAAAUAGAUCGAAUUAAAGUAAUAAAGGAAUAGUAUAGUUCGAAUUCUACAUAACUAAGGAUUAGCACAAUCGACCAUCAUGAUCAUAUAAUUUAACUCAAGUUUACUAUCAAGAGAUAAGAUUAAAUAAAUUAGUCAUAUAAAUGUCAAUCCAAUGAGAUGUUUAAGAUCCCAACAUAUACGAAGCACGCCCAUUUAAACAAACUCUCAACAAUUGUAAAUUUGAAAGAAAGGACAUAUCAUACCUUACUAAAUUCAGUUUUACUUCAAGCAUCACAUAAUAUGAACUACCCUUUAUAUCACAUAGUGCAAGUGUAUAUAUAUAACUUACUAAGAUCAACUAAACAUAUCACAAUCGAAUAUAAAGACAAGUCUAUAUAAAAUUCCAAUUCUCUACUUCAAAUAUUAGAUCAGACCAUUUCGAACAACAAUAAAUCUAACCUCGUAUUACGGCCAGGAGCUGGAGGAGAGAUCACGAAUGCCUUCGACCAUAAUCAGGAAUCCAGUAUAUUAAACACUGCUCUGAUACCAACUUGUAACACCCUCCAUGUCGUUUAUAUAAUUAAGAAUAGUUUUUAGAAAAAUGGACUUUAUUAAAACCUUCGGAUCCUACUGAUCCUUUAGAAAAUAAGUUUGGAAAUCAUCAAAGCAUUUUUCUUUCUUCAAAACAUAACCCACAUUUGAAAGAUAUAAUUUUCAUAAAGAGUGCUACUUCAACAUAGACGGGGUUUUAAAGCAAUACUUGUAAUACAGCAGAACACAAAAUAACUUUAUUUUACAUACACCCCGGUUUAAUAGACUAGAUUCCUAAAUAGAGUACAUUAUAAUUACAACUAUAAACUUCUCAAGUUAAAGCACUUAAAAAGAAAGUGACUAAUAGAAUCUUUGAAAAUAGUCGGUUGAUAUAAAAGCUCGUGAUUCCUCGAACUCCGCUCCACCAGUUUCCAUAACCGCUUCGAGCACCUCAACCUUGACAUGGGCGAAGAGUUUUCCCCUGCUUCACGUAUACUCACAAGGUGUACUCACACAAACAAAAUAUUGCAUUCACAUGGGGAUACAACGACCAAUUAGCUGUAGUACAUAUAGACAUCAAGUCCCUAUAGUCUGUAUUAACAUAUAUAACACAAAUGCAAUAUGACGGGAUACCUAUCAGAUUCAUAACAUGGUUAUCGGUAAUAGACGUCGAUAUUCUGAGCCCGUUUAUUUAUGGAAGCUAUCCACUCUAUAGUCUAUAGUACCGUAGUUGGAAUACCGGCCCCUCCGUAUUUCCGUGUCUACUCGACCGAUAGCCAUUUAAGAUUCUGACUUCCUAUACUGACCAUGCAAUAUCAUAAAUGACAAAUCAUACAAACAAUUCAAAACGUAUAAACAAACAUACUCAUACUUAUGUCAAUACAAUUACUAUAAUGUGACGGUAUCCCUAUCAGAUUCAUAACAUGGUUAUCGGUAAUAGACGUCGAUAUUCUGAGCCUGUUUUGAGGGGAGCUACCCACUCUAGUCUAUAGUACCGUAGUUGGAAUACUGGCCCCUCGUAUUCCCGUGUUUACUCGACCGAUAACCAUAUUAAGAUUCUGACGUUCCUAUACUUGCUCAUGCAAUACCAUAAAUGACAAAUCAUUCAACUCCAAUAAUAUAACCAUGUUAGAUCGAACUUGCACUUAGCAUAAAACACGUAACCAUAUAACACAUAACCAAAUAGCUAACAAACAUAUUCAAAACAUUUUCUCCCUUAGAGUUGAUUCUUCAAAUAACUCACAUAAUCAAUUCAAAUUGCAUAAAUAAACAUUCUUAUAACUCACAUAUAUUAUGCAACGUACACGUACCAUAUACAAGAGGUAUCACAUACAAGAGAAGGGGAUUAUCAUAUUAUUUCAUAUAACCACUUUCAUAGUUAUAACAUACCAAAGUGAUUAUCUUAAAUGCAUCAUUCAUGCGUUUCCUAAGCUAUACAUUUAUGUGAACAUAUAAGCAUACGAUAAUCAUAAUAGCACAUACGCACAUAAUAUAUGAAAUCCGAAUCCACAUAUUCUAUUCCAAAGAACUACAAGGAAAUCUGGCAGAUUCGGUACUUCAACUUUGGAAAUUCAUAUCUCUUAAACCGUACAUACAAACCUUAUGAAAUUAUCACACAACGUUCCCAUAUUAGAGAAUUAUAUCAUAUCAAAACAGUGCAGUAAAAUACCUAUCCAUGAGAGAGGAAUAAUUAAUUUAGUACAGCAACAGCAGCAGAAUUUUAGAACAGAGUAUUCAACUUUGAAAAUAUCAAAUAGAUCAUUCUUUCAACGAAACACCAUGAAAUUUCACGAAGAAUCAGAUUUAUAAGUCUAUAAUCAUAUCCAGUUGGAAUCGCAUGAAUCGGAACAAGGUAAAAUCUAAUUGAACACAUAAUUCAUAGAUGACUCAGAAAUCGUGCAGUUUCAGAAAACCGUUCAUAACUUGAUCAAUAAAAUUCCGAUUUAUGCAUACCAUAUAUCAAAACGAAGCUAACAGAAACAUGUACACGCACAAUUAAUUUCAUAAUUUUCGUAAAAUAAAUCAUCGAUGAAACAUGCACUGAAAUCUGUGGUUACGAAUCUGGAAAUCGAAUUGGGGUUCAUUGAAAUCUAUAUUUCAUGACCUAGAUCCCUAAAUCCGAUUCCUAAGCAUAUUAAUCAAUUAAAACACAUAAACAUCAUCUUAUUAUUAUCAUUAAUUCAGUAAAGACCAAAAGUCCUUACCUCUUUGAAGAAAAAUCGAAGACAAAGGGAAAGAGUAAACCGAAGGAUUCUUGGAACCUUUGGCUUGAAGACUUUUGGGGCUGAACUUGGAGGCUAUCGAGUGCCCGAUCUUCUUGCUAGUGUGGGGGAUUUUAUAGGGAAAUUAAUCCCAUUAAUUAGAUAUGAAACUUCCCGGAGAAGAAGGGAAAUUUGAUGAGUUCUCAUUGAAUCUGCCUGGGUGAGGCUGCCGAUGGAUGAGAGGAAGAAGAGUGAAGACCCAAAUUCCCUCGUUCCUUCUCGGAACUCCCGUCGGGAAAAUAGAGAAGGAAAGAGGAGGAAUCUUCCUUGGCUUAUACUAGGAAAUUAGGAGGAAGUUUCCCAAGGGCUAUUGUGCAAUAUUUAAAACCAUGGGGGUCCUAAUAGCAAUUUAGAAAAUAUGUUGUACACUAGACUACAUACUCUAAACAUGCAUAUACGGCACAUACAUGGCAAUCAUACACAAAUCAUAAUACAUGUAUCUAUAACAAUUAGAGAUUAAUACAUAGAUUAAUUACU